rnacentral:misc_RNA from 1 species
AAGGAUCAUUAUUGAUUUUAUGGGAUGUGCUGGUCCAUUGGGCAAGUGCACUCCCAAUAAAACCAAUAUCCACCUGUGCACUCUCUGUAGGCAGGGCUUUGCCAAGUCCUGUCUAUGUUUCUUCACAAACACUAUUGAAAUAUCUGAAUGCUAUUUACAAUAAACAUAAUUGUAAUACAACUUUCAACAAUGGAUCUCUUGGUUCUCGCAUCGAUGAAGAACGCAGCGCGGACAGCAUCGAUGUGGAAGUAGAAGUCGUAACAAG